rnacentral:sRNA from 1 species
AAACCUCAAAUCAAAUUUAAAUAUUAGAUUAGCGGUUUUAAAACAAGACCAAAGAUUUCAUACAUAUACGUGCUAACUAUUAGGGCUAUUCUCUCAUAUUGGAAGUUAAGUAUGAUUUUAAUCUUCAUUCAUUGCCAAUUAUUUUGAGUUGGAAGCCCACAAUCUAAUAUGAUAUCAAAGCCCGAACAUAUCGAGAUCAGUGGUUAGAAAAACCAUCAUUUCGGAGAGACGUUUUAGGAUAAUGUCCCACAUUAGAAGUUGAGUAAAAUAUAAAGUGAUAUAUAUAUAAGAUAUGAGUCUCUCCACUUAUUAACAAUUGAUUUUGAGUUGGAAGCCCACAUUCUAAUACUAACGUACACCUAAAUACUUUCUAUAUCAAAAAAUCAAGGUUACUAAAACUUAUUAACA